rnacentral:rRNA from 1 species
GACGAACGCUGGCGGCGUGCCUAAUACAUGCAAGUCGAACGCACUCUCGUUUAGAUUGAAGGAGCUUGCUCCUGAUUGAUAAACAUUUGAGUGAGUGGCGGACGGGUGAGUAACACGUGGGUAACCUGCCCUAAAGUGGGGGAUAACAUUUGGAAACAGAUGCUAAUACCGCAUAAAACCCAACACCGCAUGGUGUAGGGUUGAAAGAUGGUUUCGGCUAUCACUUUAGGAUGGACCCGCGGUGCAUUAGUUAGUUGGUGAGGUAAAGGCUCACCAAGACCGUGAUGCAUAGCCGACCUGAGAGGGUAAUCGGCCACACUGGGACUGAGACACGGCCCAGACUCCUACGGGAGGCAGCAGUAGGGAAUCUUCCACAAUGGACGAAAGUCUGAUGGAGCAACGCCGCGUGAGUGAAGAAGGUUUCGGAUCGUAAAACUCUGUUGUUGGAGAAGAAUGUAUCUGAUAGUAACUGAUCAGGUAGUGACGGUAUCCAACCAGAAAGCCACGG